GACAGAGGGUGCAAACGUUGCUCGGAAUUACUGGGCGUAAAGCGCGUGUAGGCGGGCUUGUAAGUUGGACGUGAAAGCCCUGGGCUCAACCCAGGAAUUGCAUCCAAAACUACAAGUCUAGAGUGAUGGAGAGGGUAGCAGAAUUCCUGGUGUAGAGGUGAAAUUCGUAGAUAUCUGGAGGAACACCGGUGGCGAAGGCGGCAUCCUGGACCGGUAUUGACGCUGAGGCGCGAAAGCCAGGGGAGCAAACGGG
rnacentral:rRNA from 1 species